ensembl:lncRNA
GAUCACAGUGGGCAAAGAAGAAGGGCAUUUUGGGGAAUAUUUCUAAUGGCUGUGGAUUAGGAGCGUCCGAAAUGUCACUUUGAGACGGGAAACGGAGCCAAAGACGCGGCAGGGUUGUUGUCAUACAAUGAAUGUAUAUUCUGUUCAAGCAGAUGGUCCAAAAAUAAUCCCUUUAAUAUCUUAUUAAGGAACAGCCAUUGAUGUUUGACCCCCCGAUAAGCUGAGAGGUUGGUGUUUUUAAUCCUGCCUUUCGUCUUGGGCAACUUCCUGUAUGACAUAAAGAACUCCAUGCUCUCUCUCUCUCUCUCUCUCUCUCUCUCUCUCAUUCCUUCACACAACAACGCAGCUCUGACGAAAAGGCGUCAUUCCGUGUGACAGGGCAAUGACGUGAGAAUGGACCGGAGUAACAUGCGGCCAUUCUCUGAGACCCAUUUUGGCAGAGAAACAAAGGAGAGCUUAGGCCAGCCGAGACGGUCACAUUGCUGUUGAUUCCCUGCGGGCUGCAGAGGACGGAUGGCGUAUUGUGAGAACCUGCCGUGGCUUUUUAAGGCUGAUGGAACUACUGUGCAGUACCCACGGCGUCAGGCCGCACACAGGGAGAGCAAGAGAAUCACCAAUCAAGUGGAUUCAUUUGGGGAACUUUUCCUGUUUUUAAUAUGUAUGAAAAUACACAACAUUAAAUUUUGCUUCGUGUCAAUCGUCAUGAUCAUUUGAUUUCGGAGACAUAUUUUUAAUUCCAGGUUCAUUUAGAGCUGUUGAGGCCCUCUAGUUGAUCAUAUGCGUUUUCCCCAAUUGCACAUAUGCUAAACUCUUGCUUUGAAAGUGUAUUCAUUGCAACAAUUUACAGUAGCUGCCAGCUGCCGGCCUCAACAGCUACGGGAACUUACUACUGAAGCCAGCGACAGCUCGCUUGCUGUAGAUAGAGGAGCUGAAGGAGAUAUUGUGGAAUGUGUUUCAAAAUCCUAUUCAACAAUUGGCUUGUCAUUCAUUGGGUUGUCAUGUCAUUAUAAAAUGUACUCUAUGUAUACGAUAUGACCUGAGACUAAUAUACAUAAUGUUAUUGGGUUAGCAUCAACGGACACUUCCUACUCGUUCUAGACCGGAUAAAAAGAACCGCGCGCAGAUUGGGAGCGUUUUUUGACUUUCUUCCUAAAGGCUCCUAAGAUGGAAAAGACUGAUGGCAGCAACAUGAUGUCAUGCUCGGGGAAUGAAGUGAAACCAAAUGGCGAUUGAGUCUGAUUGCCAGGAUGAGAAAGGAGAGUGAUGUUCGUCCCGGACUAACGGACAGACUGUGGUGAGCUGCUUGUAUGAAACGGUCAGCGGGGCCCACUGGUCGCACAACGCAACCUCUUUUCAGGCGAACGCACACGUUGUUUCCAUUGAAACACCAAUGAAACCGCCGAUCUUCCAGAGGCGUUUAAUUCUCCCCCGUUCGCUGAGGGAGCAGCCUCGUCGCCGGUUCGACUGUGUCACUACAUUUCAUCAGAAUACCCCAGACUCACCAUCAGUCUGAACCAGUACAAAUAGCUCGCCUCAAUCUCUCAGCAGCCGGCGCAGAGGCACGAGUCCUAAUAAGCACAUGCUAAAUGUGAUAAGCUGCUUUGUAGCUGCCUUUUGCCUGUUCUUUUCCUCCCCAACCAUUCUUCUCUUCCACCCUGGUGAUUUACUCACUCCGGGCGAUGUGAGCUUUCUGCUCGGCGCAGCGUUCAGACUUAUGCACACAGCGGAGCAGUGCAAAUACAUUUCUGUCUCAAUUGGUCCCUCGGUGUGUCACAGUGGAAAGAUACUUGGACAGAAGACGGGUUGAAAAGGGAAUUUUUCUUUGCUAGAAAAUAAUUCAAGUGCUAAAUCACAGUGUGCACUCUCGAGGAGGGUAAGUUUAGUGUUUUUAAAGGGCCCCUGGUGUAACCCGUGACUGGAGGCUGAAUCCAAAGCGCGGCGCAGCUCAUGAAAAUUCAUUCACAAGCACCUGUGCAGAGGUCAAACCAAAAGUUUGGGUGACAUUGCCAAAACAUAUGAAACAUAUUUUUUUUGUUACAGGCCAGACGGAUAGGUUCCAUUUGGUUUCAGUUAGGGAGUAGACGUACACGGAUGAAAAACGUAUCUCCUGGUAAAAUGUGUCUUACAUUAAUAGCUGUGUGUGCAUGCGCGCGUGUGUGCGUGUGUGCACGCAUGCAUAUAAGUGCAUAAUGUCUGGGUGUCUAAAAACAAUGAGGCGCUUGUGAGUGCAGCCCUCUGGUGUCUCCAUCCUCUCUCCGACCAGCUGGCCCAUCGCACGGCCAAAGAGAUGAAAAGCGACUCUCUUGAAACUCGGCCGGAGUGGCACUGAUGGAGCCUUUUAAGAGCAGAAUUGCUCCAGCGAGUGAAAACAUGGCCCAACACUCAGCGGCUGAUGUCAUGUCCCAGCUGUUGCCUCGAUCAGAGCGGGUCCCGCCGCGGCCAAAGCGACGCAUUCCGCGCGACACGCAGUUGCUCGAUAAAAGCGCCGGGGGCCCUUUUUGAAGUCUCCGCCGGCACUCCGGCGACCCCCGCCAACCGCGGGGUCUCCCAAGGCCCGCUGGUUAAAAGGAGCGAGGCUCAAUCAGCACAUGCUUAGACUGGUGAUGACUGCCCCCCCCUCCGCCUCCCUUCACCCCUCGUUGCUGUUAGUCUAUCAGUGUUCCCUUGUGUUGCCCUCCAUUUUCCAACCUCCAUAACAGGCGGCACUCCCGUGCAGCUGUUGAGAGCUUGUCCCUGAUGUCAUCUUAAUAGCGCCCCGCCCCCCUCUGUUUAGCAUCCGUCUUUCAGCAUGUGUACCUAAGCGUUUUUGUUUGAUGACAUCUUUUUGGGGGGUUUUUUUUGCACAGUUCGGGAGGCCGUUGAUUGACCCGGAGCUGCGAUGUGGAAUGUCGACCGUGCAGCAGUCGGCUGCUCCGCGGACGCGUCAGUGGCCGGGGGUCCGAGGCCGGGUGAGUGGGUUCGCUGUUUUCUGGUGUCAACUGCCAUCCUGGCCUGGGAGGAGGGCGCCGCGCGGCCGAGCGAACACGCGGAGGGACAAGCAGUUAUGUGCUUUUGACAACCAGUGCCAGUGAGACCUUUGCCCGUCUGUCAGUGUGUGUGCGUGUGUGUGUGUGUGUGUGUGUGUGUUAUUGUCUGAGGUUUCCAGAGAGAGAGAGAGAGCUGCAGCAGAAUGACCAAACACCAGCUAUGCUCUGGUUCCUUUCGCCCAGGGCGAGGUAAGACGUGUUAGCAUUCACAGACACGAAGCACCAGGGGCCAACUAGCAGGAAAACAGGAAGGAGCGCUGGACGAAUGACGUGCGCAGCAGCAGAAGACCCUCAUUCCGGGGGUCGGGGGGGGGUCAAGGGGACAGAGGAGGAAUAUGGAUGAGCAACAUUUGCUUUCGCUGUCCCGGCCCUGCACUGCGGGCUUGUUUUUUCACUGUUAAAUGAGUGGCAUUGUUGUUUUUUCUGUGUCAUUAAGUAUUCAGCAGCAACACUCAACGGAGUGUCACGUCAGAGAUGCGGGGAAGAGGGAAAAAAGGAGAAGAGAAAUGAGAGGCAGAGACGGAGCGAGAGAACUGCUGUCAGCGCUGACUUGAUUAGGUAUCACAAUCCAACAAAGCUCGAGUUUACUUAUUUACACUAACACUCCUCGACAGUCCCCCGCAAAACUCCUCCAACGAAGUGCAACUGUGAAAAAAAAAAGAACCCACCCCCCCAAACAAGAGGAGACUCUAUUAUUAUUUUAAUUAUGCUCUUUUUUGUUUCACUUCCCCCUCGCUGAAAGUCGGCAGAGGAGCGUGUGAGCGAGUGUGUCGAGUGUUGGGAAGCACCCCAGUGAUUCUUCGGCAGGUACAAAAGCCUCUUAUUAAAGUCAAUACAUAUACAUAUUCCUGAUGCAUAAUUUAUGGAUACUUCUGUAGCAUUAAGAGCAAGCACUGGAGAAUAGCUUCACACAUUACCACUGUUUGGGAUUUUUCAAAGCCUUUUAGAAAAAGGUGCACAAAAUAUGCCAGAAUCAGGGCAGAGAUGGAAAUCGAGCAUAUUUCAGAGAACCAUUAACGCUGUUCAACUGAGGCGACUGUCGCUAUUUCAGUUCAGAGACAGUGUAUUUGCAGCACGUGGAAAGUUUUCAUUUUGUCGGACCGUUUUUGAAUCCGAAACUAACUAGAUGUUUGACGGCAUCACGAGUACGCCACACUCAAUCCAAAGAACGCACAGACGACUGUUUCCAUUUUGGUAUGAAGUGAAAACAUUCUUGACGCCGUCCCGCGUCAGACAACAGGUUAAUGGGGCAAAACAACUCAAUUAAAUAAGUCAACAGUUUGUGGUUCCCAUCAUUAGCGGCGCAGCCAAGCAGGCCAGAAUAUUGCACAUUCCAGACUAAAGCGGGCCAUCUGGUUCCACAGUGCACAAAACAUCUCUUUCACAUUAAGUGUUUAUUGUUUUCUUAGAUUGAUGCCGUUAAUAUCAGCCUCUCAGAAAGACAGAUUAGCAUCACCUCCUAAUCAGCGCUAUUAGGAGAUAAAUAUCAGUAAUUUAAUCACCCCAGCAAUUUCUUCUACAAUAAUACGAUUUACAAAUGCAAACGAUUAAGUAAUUAGCUUACAUCUCUGAAGAUUACAAUCCCCUGGACUUUGGUUGCAUCUGGUUAUCUGAAGAUUACACCGUUUCACUUUGUUUUUUUGUGAAUGCGGUCUGUGCUUGACCAAGAAGCGUAGAGCGCUUGGCAAAUGACCCCCAAAUCCCUUCGAGUGAUUUGCUUUUUCUUUCCCUCACUGGUACCAUUUUUGUGAGGGGACCAACACACGAAAGCAGACGAAUGCCUUGCAUGUAUUUCGAUGGAGAAAGCAUGUACACUUGAUAAAAUAAAGCCAAGCUGCGAGACAACAUAUCCAAACAGUCAUCAAGGAUUCCUUUGUUACCGGGAGAACACCGGCCCUCCGGCUACUUCUGUUUUCGACAUUCUAAAGCUCUAACUUUCUUUAUUUACUAAGUAAUUUGUCGGUUAGUGUUAAUUUCCUAAACGCAACAUAAAAGGAGCGCCUUGCGGUGAGAAGAAAAAAUUAAAGGGGAAAAUAAUAAAAACAGCAGAGAAUCAGGCAAAUUGCUUCCAUGUGUUUGUGGCUGCCAGAGCUAAAGGAAGCGGAGCGCUGCCUAAAUACCCCUGACCCGCCGAGACUGGGCCAAUUCAGUUUGAAAGGCCCGGCUCUCUAAUGAAGGCCUAAUUUUUAUUGCCACUCCAUUGACUUCAAAGCACUUUAGGUUGCCAAACAUAAUUUUGCUGGAGGUAUUUUCAGGUGCACUGCAAAUAGUUCAUAAAUAAUUUUCCCAUUAGUCCAGGCGAUGCAGUUUUUUGGGUGAAUGUUUCUUCUGUUCUUCGGUUCCUUACUACACCACUUCCCCCCCCCUCCUCUUGGUCUUCGACGGCCCCUCGACUACCCAGAGCAGACCAAGCAAGAGCCCUGCAUCCUUCCUCCAGCCCUGCGCCCCCGUCAGCUUCCAACCUCAGUGCUUUUAGGAGCUCAAGGAGUCAAAUACCGCUUAGUGGCUCUGUGAGUUUUCCGUUGAAGCGAUGAGACAGGCCGGCCAUGGCUCGCCGCUGUCGGUGCCUUAGUAAGGAGGCCCAGAGCCACCAUUACGGGAUUAGUGAAUUAAAAUAAAUCCCACCCGAAGAGGCCCAAUCACCAUUGGCUUAUUGGUUGUGACCGUGCUGUCACUUUAAAUGGCUACCUGCGAAUGCGCAGCGACUGGCACAUGAGAUGCAACAUGGCCACAGUUUGCCGCGACGAUCGAGGAGUGUUUUCAGAAAAUCCAUCUGAGAGGAGUCAUGGUUUGCGUCUUUUUUAGAUUAAAUUCAAAUAAACUACAUUUAAUGUAUUUUUUUUGGGCCCCAAAUCACAAUUUCCAAAUUUGCCUCUAAGGGAUUUAAUGAAUUACAGGAUUCAACAGGGUUUUGCCCUUUGACCCUGAGCAGAAUAACUGCUGCAGAAAAUGAAUCAAUGGAUGGAUCUUUAAAUAAACAGUCAUCAUCUUUAGCAUGUAGUAAAAUGUUGAUAAUUACACUUAAAAUCACAUCGUAGCAACGUCUUAAAAAGGGUUUUGCUGUUAUAUGGCUAAAGCAUAUCUCUUAUUUUUACUACCCGUCCUCAUUGAACACAUUAGACCAAACUGCCAGUUGCAUUUUGUUUAGUGCUUGCUGGGGGAUUGCAGUAGUCUGCGUAAGGAGGAGGUGGGUUCCUCGAUCAAACAUGGGACUGUGACCCAGGAGACCAGUGUUUGUGUCAUGAUUUGUUUCACCUUAUUUUGGUCACAUAAGCUUGUUUUACUCACUACUUACCUGACUUCACCUAUACGUCAGAUUACAUCAACCCAGUAAUCUAACUUGACAAACUACUAAGAUGCAAAAUGCAUGAAAAUCGAGAAAUCAUUGUGUUGCAAACCGCUGCAAGAAUGUGCUGUAGGUACGGCCCAUUUGCGGUCCACAAUUGCCAUACGUGCUACAACAGUGGAGCUCUUAGCAGGAUGUUUCAGUUUCUGUUUGACAUAGUGGGUCCGAUCACACUGCUGGGGACCCCUGACCUCCUGUAAAACAUCUGGAGAAAAAGCAGCGUUUCCCACUCAGCAUACAUAGUAUCACAUUACUUCAAUACAAGGAUUAACAUUAACAAUAGCCAGCCUUUUAAGGUGUGCUCAGGCAUCCAUCCAAAAUUGUGGUGUACUCUGUCACAUCAGCGUUUUAAUGGAUAGUGAAAGCCUCCCGGUAUCCUGCAAUCACAAGCCUAAUUCAAAACAAACUAAUAAUAAAAAAAGAAUCGAUGCCAUCAAAGCACAUGUGUUUCCCAUUUCUCGACAUUCUCAGAGAAGCGGUGGAGUCUUGCGGGGCCGUGCCUUGACUUAGCGAGCCGUUAAACUGUUUUUUCCCUUCGUCCAAGGCUCUAUAAAGAACCAAACCCGUGGACCUUGUGAUAGGCAAUAACACACGGGCCGGGAUGGGUCUGACCACCCCGGGACGGACUCUACUCCAAAUGUAAAUCUCACAGACAAGAGCACCGAGCUCAGUGCCCAUUAGCCCCCCUCCCCUCAACCCCCUCAACAACCAGCUUUUUCCCUUCUUUUUUUUACAUUUAGAUGCUAUUAUUGUUCUAUAAUUACGUUUCCUUCCCUGCAGCGGAGCAGAUUCUUUGAAGAGAGAAAAAUGGGACACUUCUUUAUUUUUAAGCAGGCAGGUAUUUUUCAAUAAGCUGGGCUUGUUGUCUUUGUACACAUAACAUGUUUAACUGCGAAAACAGGCCAUAAAUCACAGCAGUGAUAACUGAUUACUCUCAUCUCCUUCUCUCUCUCUCUCUCUCUCUCUCUCUCUCUCUCUCUCCAUAUGCUUGUGCUCAAUUCGUCUAAUACCCUCCACCCCCCCACCCACCAACUCUGAAUAAGUAUAUUUUGUUAGUGCGGUGCUGAGCGACGUGACAGUGCAGGCAUGUGUCUGUGCCCACUGAGAGAGCGACACAUGGUGGGAUGUGUGCGCGUGCAGAUGUAUCUCAAUGUGUAUCAAAGGAGGUUCAUGCAUGGAGCUCCGGUGGAGUGUAAGGACGGCUGUUAACCUCUCAAAGGGAUCAUGUCUGUCCUAAAAGCUCAGGAUUUUCCCUUAUUUCUCAGGCCACAUGUAGCUUUUGUGCAGUUUGGUGCAUUUUUCUCAGAUGGCCGGACGGAUUCCACAAGUCAUCGGGGUGGAGUAAACGUUUUUUUUUUUAAUUAAACGCAAAUUAUAGACUUUAUUUCAAUGAGAUAUUAUACAAACUGCAGGGUGUUUCUUUUCUGUCCGCAGAUGUUUUACAGUUGUUUACAUCCAUUUUGGCGCAUCACCACCACCUUGUGAUCAGUGAAACAGUGUGAAUUGGCAGGAACAUUUGUGACCCACAUGGAAGAUUUGCAUUUCACGGCGGGAAUUUAGAGCUGAGAGCCACGGACGGGAUUGGAGUAGGAAAGUAUUCAAAGACAUCAUCGUUGUUGUUGGUUUAGGUCUUGGUUUGUUAAACAUAACAAAUAUAUAAAUAUCGCCGACCUUUUUAAACACAUAUGGUUGAAAAAUAGGGGCUUCUGAAACAUUACACCAGCAUUGUUGAGCUAAUUCCAAAGGUAUUCCCUUCAAAGCUAUUUGAAAUAAUAAGGCCUCAAUCCCUCCAAAUGGCCGUACACAAACAGCUGUUGCCCUUCCUGCUUCUCACAAUGCUGCUGUGUGUUUUCUGAUCUGAUCAAUAACACAAGACUGAUGUGUCCCGUGAUUCAUGACUACAGCCACUCGGGCUCCCUUACACACACAAACCUUCAUUAAUGAGUUGUUAUUGGAAGACAGAGAGCCCUCUGGUAUCUGUUAAACACACACGAGUCCUCUUAAUGAGCUCCCUCUCAACGCACACAGUCGUCUCUCUGUCUGCUCUCGGGCCCCGUCCGGGGGCCGUCCGGCGGCUCACCGGAAAACGACGGCGGAGUGACGCGCCAUUGUUGGUGCGGCCCGAAACCACCACUUUCCCCCCCGGACCGCGGCCUCGAACGCAGCGGCCAGAAAGAACGGAGCACCUGCCGUUCCUCGCCUGCGAUCGAGUCCUGAUUGUUGAUGGAUGGAGAUCUGGUCGUGGGCCCUGUGUGCUAACGCAGCAGGCCCUUAAUCCUGGCCCCCCCCCGAGAGGCCCCCGAGUUCUGUCCUUCAUCCAAUUUUGCCGACUCUCAACAGGAAAUGAGGGCUUCAGGGGGCGCUGGUAAGGAGACGGGAGGCUGAGUCACGAGGAGGGCCACGGACGAGCCAGCACACCCGCCGCACAUGUUUGAUGCGUCGCUGAGGGAAAACAAGGCGGUUGCCAAGAAACGUGUUUCCUUUGUCUUUCUCGCAAUUUCUUUCACUCUGAGCGUGACGCGGAGCUCAGUAUUUACGCCCAG